GCGGGAAUAGCUCAGUCGGUAGAGCAUCUGCUUCCCAAGCAGAGGGUCGCGAGUUCGAGUCUCGUUUCCCGCUCCA
rnacentral:tRNA from 2 species